rnacentral:rRNA from 1 species
UCAAGCUACAAAGAGCGCAAGGGGAAUGCCUUGGCACCGAGAGCCGAAGAAGGACGUAGCAAUCUGCGAAAAGCUGCGGGGAGUCGAAAGCAGACACCGAUCCGCAGAUAUCCGAAUGUGGAAACACGUCAAAGCAAUACUUUGACAUCAUUAAAUGAACACAUAGUUUAAUGAAGGGAACCGCCUGAACUGAAACAUCUAAGUAGGGCGAGGAAAAGACAUCAAAAGAGAUUCCGUAAGUAGUGGCGAGCGAACGCGGAGGAGGCCAAACCUAAGGUAGAGAUACUUUAGGGGUAAGGACGACAACACGCAAGAAUCAAGAUAAUCGAAGGACAUGGGAAGGUCCGCCAAAGAGAGUGAGAGCCUCGUAGGUGAAAUCGAGAAGAAGCCAGUCGAAUCCAGAGUACCACAGGACACGAGAAAUCCGGUGGGAAUAUGGGGGGACCACCCUCCAAGCCUAAAUACUACUCGGUGACCGAUAGAGAAACAGUACUGUGAAGGAAAGGUGAAAAGGACCCCGGGAGGGGAGUGAAAAGAACCUGAAACCUUGUGCUUACAAGCACAUAGAGCACGUCAACGUGUGAUAUGGUACCUUUUGUAGAAUGGUCCGGCGAGUGAAUGUAUCGAGCGAGGUUAAGUACUUAAGGUACGCAGCCGAAGCGAAAGCGAGUCUGAAAAGGGCGAUUAGUUCGAUGUAUUCGACCCGAAACCGGGUGACCUAUCCAUGAGCAGGUUGAAGUGAAGGUAAAACUUCAUGGAGGACCGAACCCACUUCUGUUGAAAAAGGAGGGGAUGACUUGUGGAUAGCGGAGAAAUUCCAAUCGAACCCGGAGAUAGCUGGUUCUCUCCGAAAUAGCUUUAGGGCUAGCCUCAAACAAGAUUACCGGGGGUAAAGCACUGACCGGAUGCGGGACUGAGAAGUUACCAAAUCCUAUCAAACUAAGAAUACCGGAGAAUUGAUGUUUGGGAGUCAGACUAUGGGAGAUAAGUUUCAUGGUCAAAAGGGAAAGAACCCGGACCCACAGCUAAGGUCCCUAAAUAUGUUUAAGUGGAAAAGGAUGUGGAGAUGCGAACACAACCAGGAUGUUGGCUUAGAAGCAGCCAUACAUUUAAAGAGUGCGUAAUAGCUCACUGGUCGAGUGACUCUGCGCCGAAAAUGUAACGGGGCUAAAACAUAUACCGAAGCUUGGGAUUUUGGAUGUUGGACAUUAGAUAUUGGGUAAAAAGGAAUCGAGUAUCAAAUGUCCAGCGUCCAAGAUGGUAGGAGAGCGUUGUAUGCGGGGAGAAGUCGUAGCGAAAGCGACGGUGGACUGCAUAGAAGAGAGAAUGCCGGAAUAAGUAGCGAGAUUUAUGUGAGAAUCAUAAAGGCCGAAAGACUAAGGAUUUAGAAGGAAGGUUCGUCCGCUUCUAGUUAGCCGGGAGCUAAGGCGAGGCCGAAAGGCGUAGUCGAUGCACAUACGGUGGAGAUUCCGUAGCCGCCGAAAUACUUAAGAUAAGUGACACUUUAGAAGUCUGUAACCGAGGCGAUGGUCGACCUCGGCGUAAGGGACCGAAAAUAAGUAGGGAAGUACAGAUAGAUAGAGGCGAGAAAAGCUUAUUGGUACGUAUUAGGCGCCCGUACUGAAAACCGACACAGGUAGUCAGGAAGAGAAUUCUAAGGCCAACGGGAGAAGGGUAGUUAAGGAACUCGGCAAAUUGACCCCGUAACUUCGGGAAAAGGGGUGCUCAUGAAAAUGAGCCGCAGUGAAUAGGUCCAGGCGACUGUUUAACAAAAACACAGCUCUCUGCUAAAUCGAAAGAUGAAGUAUAGGGGGUGACACCUGCCCGGUGCCGGAAGGUUAAGAGGAGAAGUGCAAGCUUUGAAUUGAAGCCCCGGUAAACGGCGGCCGUAACUAUAACGGUCCUAAGGUAGCGAAAUUCCUUGUCGGGUAAGUUCCGACCCGCACGAAAGGUGUAACGAUCCGGACACUGUCUCAACUGCCCACCCGGCGAAAUUGUAGUACCGGUGAAGAUGCCGGUUACCCGCGGCAAGACGGAAAGACCCCAUGGAGCUUUACUGUAGCCUGAUAUUGGGUUUUGAUAUUUUAUGUACAGGAUAAGUGGGAGACUGAGAAGAUACGGCGUCAGUUGUAUCUGAGUCAUUGUUGGGAUACCACUCUUAAGAUGUUAGGAUUCUAACUUGCGGUCGUGAAACCGAUCGGAGGACAUUGUCAGGUGGGCAGUUUGACUGGGGCGGUCGCCUCCAAAAGAGUAACGGAGGCGCUCAAAGGUUAGCUCAGUACGGACGGAAACCGUGCAAAGAGUGCAAACGCAAAAGCUAGCCUGACUGCGAGGCUGACGGGCCGAGCAGGAACGAAAGUUGGAGUUAGUGAUCCGGCGGUAUGUGAGUGGAAAUGCCGUCGCUCAACGGAUAAAAGCUACCCUGGGGAUAACAGGCUUAUCUCCCCCAAGAGUUCACAUCGACGGGGAGGUUUGGCACCUCGAUGUCGGCUCAUC